AAGUGAAGCAUUUCUGGGACUAAUCAUAUCUCUUGCUGGCAGCACGGUGCCCUAGUGAUUAGCACUGUUACCUCACAGCGAGGAGGUCAUGGGUUCGAUUCCCACCUUGUGAAGUUUGCGUGUUCACUCCAGGUGCUGUGGCUUGCUCCCACAUUCAAAGACACACAGGUUAGGCGGAAUGGAAACUUUAAAUUGUCCGUAGGUGUGCAUG